GACACGAUAUUGGCAGCCUGAAGAUGUAUUACAUGCAUGUACAUGAUUUUUCAACGGUCAGGUUUUUAUGAAGGGAGGAAUUGGACAGAACAGAGCAGGACCAGAAGUUCCAGUGAGCUGGUAGGCGAGCCACCAACCUUGGAGAUCCUAGACCGGGGGAGAGUGAGAUAGAGCGAUCCAGUCUGGUUUGAAAGCACUCAUCUAUACACUGACUCAUUGGACCUCAUUGAAUGGAUAUACACACACCCUGGGCCCCAACAUUUUCUUUAUUCUUUCAGUAAAGGACAGAAAGAACUUUUUUUUUCUUUUUUUUUCUAGUGUGCACACUUAAGUUGUCUAAUUUUAUUUGUUUUGGGUAUUUGAAAUUCACACUGUGACAUUUCCUAUUUUUUCAAUAUAAUCAUUCAUAUGCCA